rnacentral:siRNA from 1 species
ACCCAACGGUCAUGUCCACUUGGA